GACGAACGCUGGCGGCGUGCUUAACACAUGCAAGUCGAGCGAGGCCCUUCCUUCGGGAAGGUGCCCUAGCGGCGAACGGGUGAGUAACACGUGGGCAACCUGCCCCUAGCACUGGGAUAACUCCGGGAAACCGGGGCUAAUACCGGAUACGACCUCAGAGGGCAUCCUCCGAGGUGGAAAAAUUUAUUGGCUAGGGAUGGGCCCGCGGCCUAUCAGCUUGUUGGUGAGGUAACGGCCCACCAAGGCUUCGACGGGGAGCCGGCCUGAGAGGGCGACCGGCCACACUGGGACUGAGACACGGCCCAGACUCCUACGGGAGGCAGCAGUGGGGAAUAUUGCACAAUGGGCGAAAGCCUGAUGCAGCGACGCCGCGUGAGGGAUGACUGCCUUCGGUUGU
rnacentral:rRNA from 1 species